CUCCAGACUCCUCUGUUAAGUCCAUAGGAUUUCCCAGGUAGUAUGCAGCACUCCUAUUGGACGUUUUUAGAUCACCAUUCAGUAUGGAGCAUUCCUAUUGGACCCUUCUGAUCACAAUUCAGUAUGCAGCAUUCCUGUUGGCCACUCUGACAGAUGCUUACGCCGGUGCUUCCAACCAGCGUUUCCACAAUGGCUUCCCAGAUAUUCAUCUGGAUGUUUCGAUGUGCCUACAGUGUGCCUGGAUGAGAACACACAGAGGAGCCUUGGCCCCUUUUCCAAAGCCCGGUAAGGGGAGGCCUGUGGGCAGACGGAUGGGCUCAGACUUGGCUCCUCCGGAACAGUAACUCCCCUGCUGCACUAGGAAAGUCUCAGCCUCAGACCCGCCUUGAGGGGCAGGGGAGGACACUGACGGGGCAGAUCCCCAGCUCAGUCAUGAUCAGAAACAUCUGGGUGCUUCCCAAACCCUGCGCCUUCAGAGCAGGAUGCCCCUGGGACCUAUCUGACUUGCUUUCUUCGAGCUCAGAAAGACACCUGCCCAGGAAUCUGAGAUUGCCAUUCUGUUCUUUUAUCCAGAAGAUGUGUUGAUGAUGAAUACAUCUGAAGUUGGCAUCAUAUCCACAUAGAAAUGUAAGUGAUGGUAAAAGCACCUUUUUAGAUAGAAGAUGUUAUAGGAGUGUGGUUAAUAAUGUAGCAUAUAAAACACCUUCCUUAUUUAAGAGCAAGCAGUCUCCUGAUAAACCAAAACCUGGGAUCAUUCAUUUAUUCAUUCACUCAAAUGAUAUUCACUGAGUGCUUAGUUUCAUCUUUGACUCCUGUGUUUUUCGUUUCUUAUCUCCCUGCAAGACUUGAACAUGUUUUUGUAUUCUACUUUAUCUAUAGUAUUUGUUUGUAUC